UACAGAGGUCUCAAGCGUUUGUUCGGAUUCAUUGGGCGUAAAGGGCGCGUAGGCUGCGGGGCAAGUCGGGUGUGAAAUCUCAGAGCUCAACUCUGAAACUGCACUCGAUACUGCUUUGCUUGAGGACUGGAGAGGAGAUUGGAAUUCACGGUGUAGCAGUGAAAUGCGUAGAUAUCGUGAGGAAGACCAGUGGCGAAGGCGGAUCUCUGGACAGUUCCUGACGCUGAGGCGCGAAGGCCAGGGGAGCAAACGGGG
rnacentral:rRNA from 1 species